rnacentral:misc_RNA from 1 species
GAUGAAGAACGUAGCAAAAUGCGAUAAGUAAUGUGAAUUGCAGAAUUCAGUGAAUCAUCGAAUCUUUGAACGCACAUUGCGCCCGCCAGUAUUCUGGCGGGCAUGCCUGUUCGAGCGUCAUUUCAACCCUCAAGCUCAGCUUGGUGUUGGGACUCGCGGUAACCCGCGUUCCCCAAAUCGAUUGGCGGUCACGUCGAGCUUCCAUAGCGUAGUAAUCAUACACCUCGUUACUGGUAAUAGUCGCGGCCACGCCGUAAAACCCCAACUUCUGAAUGUUGACCUCGGAUCAGGUAGGAAUACCCGCUGAACUUAAGCAUAUCAAUAAGCGGAGGA